UCACUGCUUGCGCAGGCAGUCUCUUUAGAGUCCCCACCAUAAUGUGCUGGCAACUAAAGAUAGGGGUUGCGCUCGUUGCGGGACUUAACCCAACACCUCACGGCGCGAGCUGACGACAGCCAUGCAGCACCUUGCUUUGUGUCCCGAAGGAAAGGUGUGUUUCCACACCGGUCACCUACAUGUCAAGCCCAGGUAAGGUUCGUCGCGUUGCGUCGAAUUAAAGAACAUGCUCCGCUGCUUGUGCGGGCCCCCGUCAAUUCUUUUGAGUUUUAGCCUUGCGGCCGUACUCCCCAGGCGGGACACUUAACGCGUUAACUGCGGCACAGAGGGAUUCGACUCCCCCCACACCUAGUGUCCAUCGUUUACGGCUAGGACUAC
rnacentral:misc_RNA from 1 species